UAAAAAAUAGCUUAAAUUAAAGCGAUUUAUUUACAUUAAAUUGAUACCGUUCUCGGUUUUUUUAA
rnacentral:tRNA from 1 species